GACGAACGCUGGCGGCGUGCUUAACACAUGCAAGUCGAACGGAAAGGCCCUGCUUUUGUGGGGUGCUCGAGUGGCGAACGGGUGAGUAACACGUGAGUAACCUGCCCUUGACUUUGGGAUAACUUCAGGAAACUGGGGCUAAUACCGGAUAGGAGCUCCUGCUGCACGGUGGGGGUUGGAAAGUUUCGGCGGUUGUGGAUGGACUCGCGGCUUAUCAGCUGGAUGGGGGGGUAGUGGCUGACCAAGGCUUUGACGGGUAGCCGGCCUGGGAGGGUGACCAGCCUCCUUGGGCCUGCGGUACGGCCCAGACUCCUACGGGCCGCAGCAGUGGGGAGUAUUGCACAAUGGGCGGACGCCUGAUGCAGCAACGCCGCGUGCGGGAUGACGGCCUUCGGGUUGUAAACCGCUUUCGCCUUUGCCGAAGCGUGAGUGACGGUACUGGGUAAAGAAGCACCGGCUAACUACGUG
rnacentral:rRNA from 1 species